rnacentral:rRNA from 1 species
UACGUAGGGGGCUAGCGUUGUCCGGAAUCAUUGGGCGUAAAGCGCGUGUAGGCGGUUCGGUAAGUCCGCUGUGAAAGUCGGGGGCUCAACCCUCGAAUGCCGGUGGAUACUGUCGGGCUCGAAUCCGGAAGAGGUGAGUGGAAUUCCUGGUGUAGCGGUGAAAUGCGCAGAUAUCAGGAGGAACACCAAUGGCGAAGGCAGCUCACUGGGACGGUAUUGACGCUGAGACGCGAAAGCGUGGGGAGCAAACAGG